AUGUAUACCGGUGUUUAUGACAAUUUCCUUUUCAACUUUAGGGUUGAGGGGACACUGCAUGAUGGUCAGGAAAUGGCGGUUAAAAGACUUUCUAAAGCAUCUGGACAAGGUCUAGAAGAAUUCAUGAAUGAAGUAGUUGUGAUUUCCAAGCUCCAACGCCGCAAUCUUGUUAGACUUCUUGGCUGCUGUGUUGAAGGGGAGGAAAAGAUGUUGAUAUACGAGUACAUGCCAAAUAAAAGUUUGGAUGCGUUUCUCUUUGAGAUUCCAGGCUAA